AGUGAACGCUGGCGGUAGGCCUAACACAUGCAAGUCGAACGGCAGCACAGUAAGAGCUUGCUCUUACGGGUGGCGAGUGGCGGACGGGUGAGGAAUACAUCGGAAUCUACUUUUUCGUGGGGGAUAACGUAGGGAAACUUACGCUAAUACCGCAUACGACCUACGGGUGAAAGCAGGGGAUCUUCGGACCUUGCGCGAUUGAAUGAGCCGAUGUCGGAUUAGCUAGUUGGCGGGGUAAAGGCCCACCAAGGCGACGAUCCGUAGCUGGUCUGAGAGGAUGAUCAGCCACACUGGAACUGAGACACGGUCCAGACUCCUGCGGGAGGCAGCAGUGGGGAAUAUUGGACAAUGGGCGCGAGCCUGAUCCAGCCAUACCGCGUGGGUGAAGAAGGCCUUCGGGUUGUAAAGCCCUUUUGUUGGGAAAGAAAAGCAGCAGGUUAAUACCCCGCUGUUCUGACGGUACCCAAAGAAUAAGCACCGGCUAACUUCGUG
rnacentral:rRNA from 1 species